AGUCGAACGCACUCUCGUUUAGAUUGAAGGAGCUUGCUCCUGAUUGAUAAACAUUUGAGUGAGUGGCGGACGGGUGAGUAACACGUGGGUAACCUGCCCUAAAGUGGGGGAUAACAUUUGGAAACAGAUGCUAAUACCGCAUAAAACCUAACACCGCAUGGUGUAGGGUUGAAAGAUGGUUUCGGCUAUCACUUUAGGAUGGACCCGCGGUGCAUUAGUUAGUUGGUGAGGUAAAGGCUCACCAAGACCGUGAUGCAUAGCCGACCUGAGAGGGUAAUCGGCCACACUGGGACUGAGACACGGCCCAGACUCCUACGGGAGGCAGCAGUAGGGAAUCUUCCACAAUGGACGAAAGUCUGAUGGAGCAACGCCGCGUGAGUGAAGAAGGUUUUCGGAUCGUAAAACUCUGUUGUUGGAGAAGAAUGUAUCUGAUAGUAACUGAUCAGGUAGUGACGGUAUCCAACCAGAAAGCCACGGCUAGCUACGUGCCAGCAGCCGCGGUAAUACGUAGGUGGCAAGCGUUGUCCGGAUUUAUUGGGCGUAAAGCGAGCGCAGGCGGUUUCUUAAGUCUGAUGUGAAAGCCUUCGGCUCAACCGAAGAAGUGCAUCGGAAACUGGGAAACUUGAGUGCAGAAGAGGACAGUGGAACUCCAUGUGUAGCGGUGAAAUGCGUAGAUAUAUGGAAGAACACCAGUGGCGAAGGCGG
rnacentral:rRNA from 1 species